rnacentral:sRNA from 1 species
UUUUUUAAUCACAGCGCUUUUAUUGUAAAAGGAAAUGGAAAACUACUACAUUGGUAAUGCGCAUGCAUCAUUUCUGUUUCUUUCCUGCACGUCUGCUAUUCGUUGCUAUCCAGACGAUCGAGGUUACACGGGGUCAAAGACCACAGUCUAGAUACCCGCAUCCAAUACUUGAUCAUCUAUAAGUGUUUAGACUAUAUGGCUUCAGAGAAGAAAAGAAAAUAUAUUCACCACAAGCCUGAAAUUGUUAAAGCUGCCAUAGAGGCAAUGGAUAAAAAUGAAAUGUCUCUAAGAAAAGGCAACUAACAAAGUUGUGAAGGACAAGGAAAAAG